CUCUGUGACUCCUACGGGAGGCAGCAGUGGGGAAUAUUGCACAAUGGGGGAAACCCUGAUGCAGCCAUGCCGCGUGUGUGAAGAAGGCCUUCGGGUUGUAAAGCACUUUCAGUAGGGAGGAAGGUAGUGUAGUUAACACCUGCACUAUUUGACGUUACCUACAGAAGAAGCACCGGCUAACUCCGUGCCAGCAGCCGCGGUAAUACGGAGGGUGCGAGCGUUAAUCGGAAUUACUGGGCGUAAAGCGCAUGCAGGCGGCCUGUUAAGUCAGAUGUGAAAGCCCCGGGGCUUAACCUCGGAAUUGCAUUUGAAACUGGCAGGCUAGAGUCUUGUAGAGGGGGUAGAAUUUCAGGUGUAGCGGUGAAAUGCGUAGAGAUCUGAAGGAAUACCAGUGGCGAAGGCGGCCCCCUGGACAAAGACUGACGCUCAGAUGCGAAAGCGUGGGGAGCAAACAGGAUUAGAUACCCUGGUAG
rnacentral:rRNA from 1 species